UUAAGUCUAGCUCUCUGCCUCUCUCUCUCUCUAUCUCUCUCUCUCUCUCUCUCUCUCUCUCUCUCUCUUUCCCUUCCCAGAUCUCAACCCUGUGUCAUCUUGCUUUUGAGUUUCAUCUCCUUCUUCUUCCUCCCUUUCGUCUCUGCAAUUGAUUCUCAAGAAGUUUCAAGCUUUUUCUUCACCACUUUCCUCUUCUUGAUUGACUUCUUUUGUGUCUUUUCCCUUUUGCCCCCAUUUCCAGAUCAGCUGCGAGCGCUACUUUUGAUUAACACUUGAACAACCCUGAAAUCAUCCUCCUCUUUUCGGCCAGAAACUGAGCAAAGCUAAUAUUUUUAAUUUCCUUUUUCCUCACCUUUUUAUCUUUUUCUGACCUGAGGAUCUAUGAACUCUGGCAAGCUGCCCAAUCACGAUGCAGCUUUGUCGAUGUUGUGUAUUAGUUCCCUAACAUUGAAAUCUGUACGAGCCAACUCUUCCUUACUCGCUCAGAUUCUCUUCCUCAAAAUAUCUAAAAGAGGGCCAAAGUUUCUGUUUUUUCUUUUAGCAAACAAGACUAAGGAGACAUGGGGUUCAUCUUCUUUUCUGUUCUCUUCUUGUCCUCCCUAUUUGCGAAUACUGGUUUCGAUGCAUUUUGAUGGAGCAUCCGGGGGUGCUUAUGGAUCGACAGUCGUUCUUUGCGGGUGUAGCAUCAUCAAGAUUCACAUAUAGUUUUGCAUCUUCCUCUUGGGGUAAGAUUCCUAAAGAUUAUACUUGAAUUCAUGAUAAAAUCGUGGGCAAGUGCAAAAGAAAGCUCCGUAGGAAGUGUGAGAAUCUUGAUGAUGCUGCAUCGGCAAUAAAACGACUCUUGCAAAGUACAGCACGAAACACUCGCUGUCUCACGCCUCCCCAUUUCCCACUUUAGGCCUUAACGAGGAGAUACUAACAGUUCCCUUUUUGCAUCAGUACCAUAUAUAUAUUAAAAUACCCAGAAAAAUAUCAGGGUAUGAUCUAUUUGCAUUCCGCUAAUUUUUUUCUACUGUUUGGUCUCUACUUGGAGGAAGAAACCCUAAAGAUUCUAUAGGCUGUUUUAUAGAGCAACUUGGGGCUAUUCUCCGACAUUUGCAAGAUUUAUUUUUGAUCUUCUGAGGAAAGAAGAGCCUUCAGUGGGAAAAUGAUCACUGAUUUCUAGGCGAUACCAAUGUUGAAGAGGCUGAUUCAAAAGCUGGGAAGAGAGGCGAUAUGAAUACAACUUUUUCAUUGGGGACUAAUGGAAUGAGCUGAAAAUAGCAAAGUUCAACAGAAGUUUGUUUCUACAUGACACCUAUUUAGGGUAAGUACCACUUUCAACACAUGUGAACCUAUUAGCAGUGCCUUCUACUAAUAAUUGGGACAGAUUUUUGCCCCCAGUGGGCAGGUUUGAUUGCUCGAAACACCCACCUCCCAAAUGGAAGUUAUACUUAGACAACAUUACUAAAAUGCGCAUGUUAGUCGAUGGACGAACAUUUAAUAAAAUGGAGGAAUCGCAAGGUGAACCUAAUUAGAAGUAAAGGAAUCCUCAAUGUAGCUUUUCAUCUGGACCAAAGGUCAACCUUGAUGUAGUUUUAGUUGUAUGCAUAUGGAAAGUGUAUAGUUCGAUAUAUGGAACACAUAUAUGCGAAUCAAGUGGGGAAACUAAUGUCCUGUUGUCGCUGCUUGUUGCUUGGCCUGAGCAGUAUUCAUCGUCCAUCACUCUCUUCAGUGGACCAACCCACAAAUUGGGCAUUUCGAUACACAUGGACCCUCAUUGACAUACUCAGCUCAGACCUCAGUUCCACCUAUUUUUGCCUCUCCUCAAUGAUAGUACUCAAAGCGAUUAAAGUUUCCUUCCCAAUGUCUUUAUUGUCAUCCCCUUGUGACAAUGAUGACUCGGUCCAGUUGAAGAUAUUAUAGAUUUUUGUGCGGCUCUUUCGUUAUCCAAUUCCCAUUUUACAGAUGCAGAGUAUGAUCCGCAUCACCGUCUGAAGAUUUGAGCGUGUAAAGAAACCCGCUUUACCACAAGAAGUUUUUCUUCCCUUAUGAGGUCUCGAGUUUGCAAUAAUCUUUCACUGACGUCUUUUGGAUCCGCAAGCUUCAGACUCGUCUUCCAACUAGAAGCAAACAAGUAAUACUAGUGAAAUCAGUCGGCAAUUCAGUUUUAAAGCUGUUGACAUAAGGCCCCACAAGUGAGGGAAAAGUUUCAAAUUUUCGGCCAUUUUCUCCCAAGCCUUUACUAUCCCCAUCCCUAUCUUUCAAGACAAAGCCUUGAGGCAUUUGACGAAGUUCUCUUUCAAUUGGUCGGACUGUAGCCAACGGGCCAUGAAUUAAUGAACGGAUAUGUGCAUUGUUAUCAUGCAAUGGGGUGCAUAAUCUGUAUAGUUUCCUUGAAUAUACAUUCUUAUCUACGGGUAAUUAUAUAGCCUGUAUGGCUUUAUUAGUAAGAAUACCACAAAUAUACGUUAAUGAUUUAGUGGCUGGGUGUUAAUUGCAUAUUCACGUUGGUCUGCCAAAUUGAUGAAUGAAGUACUUGAUUGUCAUUUAAUGCAUCCAUGGCCACACAGGUGUAUGUAAUUUGAACCCACCUGAUUAAGAAAAGAUCAAAAUGCGGAAAUUCGUUGAAAUGAUUCUUGCAGUACUGUUGGACGAAUUCUCUUCUUUUUUUGAGCCUAAGACUUAAAUUGUGUCAAGAUUCAAGAAACAUGUUCACCUUAUGUAUUCAUAGCAUACACAAAAUAUUGAUAUAACUGCAUCAAAUAGACGAUGGGAUAUAGAACACCAAACAAAAUGACGAGAAUAACAAUCCAAAAAUGGUAUGAGAGGAACGGUGUUGGGAUUCUUUCUCAGGUUUUGUGAUCUGUAGCUAUGUUAGACAGACGGUCUUUCCUAAAAGUUAUUCAAAGCUAUGAAGUAAUGAGUCCACGACGUGUAUAUAGCAGUAUUUCUACAACAGGCUGUACUAGGACUAUUUCUCGAUGUCUAGUGCUUCUCUUUCUCCUCUCCUAUCUUUCUCUAUCUUUUAUUCUGUGAGCGUCGGGAUAAUCAUCCAUAGCAAGUUUCAACUUGGUAUGAGGAAGUAUUUCGUUGAUUGGAAUAAAGGUAAUUUAUUCAUCUUAAGAGCUUGCAUGAGAAGUGUCAUUUUCUGUGAAUAUUAUUUCUGACAUCAAAUGAAGUAUAGAAGCCAACGUUUGAUAUAGGUCCACAUGUGGUUCUACAUCCCUAGAAGUUUGUAUGCAGAAGUGAUGAUCGAGCUGGGCACCAAAGUCCCUCACCAGCUUGUUAUAUAGUAGAAGCUCUCUCCAAUUCUUCAAUCGGCUUGGCCGGUUUUGGCAACGAUUCCGCAACUUGUGGGGAAAUAACAGCCACGAUCUAUCACUGUGUCGUGGUCAACAUGCGUUGUGGAAACUCCGUGUAUGCAUUUCACAUGUUAAUUUCUGUAUAGUUACUUCAGACUAUCAAAUGAAAAUGUCUUAGAAAUGAAAAAAUGCAUACCAUAUUGAUCUUACUAGUCGAUGUUGCAUUCUCCUGUAAGAUGACGGCCAUCAUGUUAGACAUGUCCUUGUUAAUUCGUUCGUGUAAGGAUGAAGAGUUUUUGAUAA